GCAUUUUUGGGGUAUUAUUUUAACGUAGUAUUGGAACGGUUUGCCACUGAGGGAGAUUAUGAAGAGCAAAUUAAGCGUCACAUACACACUGUCCUGUGGACUCAAGGGCGCGUUACGGUAACGGAGUCUCAAUACGCAUUUGCUGAUUUGGAGGCAGAGAAGGGGCGGCAGCUGCUUUGGAGAAGCCUUGUGGCCGCGUGGAGCACACCCUGCUGUCUUCUGCGGUGCUGGGGACGUGGGCGUGGGUGCGUGGGUGGAGGUGGGCGCUGGGACCUCGGCAGAGUGGGGAUGGGGUCGACUGCUGUCAAGAAUCCAAACUUUUGAGGAAGACUCACUUGGGUUCAAUUUCUUACUCCACCUCGAAGUAGCUAUACACAUUGCAGGCAGAUCACUUAAGCUGCCUGAGCCUCAGUUUCCUCAUCUGUAAAAUGGGGGCGGUGAUGCUCACCUGGCAGAGGUGCUGGUGAUCACGGACCCAGCUCUGGAAACCUUAAUCUUGGUUAGUUGCAUCCUCCAAAUACCCACCCUUCCCACCCACGCCCGUCAAGAGUUCACAAUCCUGCCCCCUUCUUUCCUGGGGCUUGAAAGGGGUACAGAAAGGUUGGGGGGCAGGGAGGGACUGUGUGGAGGACAUUGAGGCAGGAAAGCCAAAAGGUGAAUUGUGCAAAGCAUUGGCUCUGCUGGUGGUCAUCAGGCUGGGGUGAACGCUGGCCGCUCUUUCCAGGUAGGGCUCUUCCUCUUCUUAGGAAACUACUCUCAGGAAACCCUUCUCCCUCUUUUAUUUCAGAAAAACACUUGAUGGCUCACCCACCUAGGACUCGUGGCCCCUCUGGGAAGGUGGAAGCCCCCUACCCUUGCAGAGCGGCAAAGAAAGGGCAGGCAAAGGGAAGAGACCCUCAACUCUCACACCCGCAGCAAAAGGAACGGAGACCACGCACUGCUUGGCAGUGUUUUCUAUUGCGUCCACCUAAUUCCUCAAAUCAGAAGCCUGAGAGCCAUCCUCUGAACAGAUGUGAAAGGAAGAGAGCGAUACAAGAGUCUGGAGAGCAAGUUGGUGGCCAACUCCUGGAGAAUUCUGUGCACGGUGCUCAGGCUUUUGUUGUUGAUGGCUGCCUGCCCUUGCUCAUCAGCCAUCUCCUCACGAACGGCCCACAGCUUGACUUGCAUCCCAUCAAGCCACUCUAAAUGUUCCCACCAUAUUCACACAUCCCACCCGCGGGGAGGGGUUUAUAUAGGGUGUGUACCCCUGAGGGUCAAAAUCUUGGCGCCAUCUUAGAAUUCUACCUCCCACGGCCCCCAAGUCUGGACCCUUCUGCCCCUGUUUCAAACUCAGCAUAUUCAAGAACAAAUACUUUCCGAAACUGACUCCAUGUUUCAGCUUCACCAUUUAAGGAAAUGAGGCAAUGGCACAGACUUGAG
rnacentral:lncRNA from 1 species